rnacentral:rRNA from 1 species
UACGUAGGGUGCAAGCGUUAAUCGGAAUUACUGGGCGUAAAGCGUGCGCAGGCGGCUUUGCAAGACAGAUGUGAAAUCCCCGGGCUCAACCUGGGAACUGCAUUUGUGACUGCAUGGCUGGAGUGCGGCAGAGGGGGGAUGGAAUUCCGCGUGUAGCAGUGAAAAUGCGUAGAUAUGCGGAGGAACACCGAUGGCGAAGGCAAUCCCCCUGGGCCUGCACUGACUCAUGCA